UACGACUACGUUAACGGUGUCAAC
rnacentral:siRNA from 1 species